rnacentral:rRNA from 1 species
AGGGAAUAUUGGACAAUGGGGGCAACCCUGAUCCGGCCAUGCCGCGUGAGUGAAGAAGGCCCUCGGGUUGUAAAGCUCUUUUGUCCGGAAAGAAAAGCAUUCGGUGAAUACCCGGAUGUUCUGACGGUACCGGAAGAAUAAGCACCGGCUAACUUCGUGCCAGCAGCCGCGGUAAUACGAAGGGUGCAAGCGUUACUCGGAAUUACUGGGCGUAAAGCGUGCGUAGGUGGUUGUUUAAGUCUGAUGUGAAAGCCCUGGGCUCAACCUGGGAAUGGCAUUGGAAACUGGGCAGCUAGAGUGCGGUAGAGGGUAGUGGAAUUCCGGGUGUAGCAGUGAAAUGCGUAGAGAUCGGGAGGAACAUCUGUGGCGAAGGCGACUGCCUGGACCAGCACUGACACUGAGGCACGAAAGCGUGGGGAGCAAACA